GAGGGUACAGCUUAGUGGUAGAGCACGUGCUUAGUUUGCAGGCGGUCCUGGGUUCAAUUCCCAGUACCUCCA
rnacentral:tRNA from 1 species